rnacentral:rRNA from 1 species
UACGUAGGGUGCAAGCGUUGUCCGGAAUUAUUGGGCGUAAAGAGCUCGUAGGCGGUCUGUCACGUCGGCUGUGAAAACCCGGGGCUCAACCCCGGGCCUGCAGUCGAUACGGGCAGACUAGAGUGCGGUAGGGGAGACUGGAAUUCCUGGUGUAGCGGUGAAAUGCGCAGAGUAUCAGGAGGAACACCGGUGGCGAAGGCGGGUCUCUGGGCCGUAACUGACGCUGAGGAGCGAAAGCGUGG